AUGAAUUAAUUUUAAUAUUUAUUGUCAGUCUUGGAGCAAACAACUGUCCAUACUGAAACAGCAUAGAUGGUCAAGACAUAGGUGGUAAUCUGCAGGAGAAAAAUGUUAAAACUACUUACUAGUAAUAAAGUACAUGAAACAUUCAUCUCAAUGGGAUUAGGCAAAUCAAGCUUCACAGUCCAUUUCCCUUUAUUUCUAUUUUGCUUUGCUCUCCAUCUCCUAUGUACCCCACUUAUGGCACCUGAAUUAAUGUUGCCUUGUACUUCUUCUCAAGAAACAUGAACCAAAUCAGUGUUCAGUGAACCCACGGGAGGCCUCUUACUGAUCUGUAGCUUCAGUGAGGUCCAUGUGUUAAGCAUCACUGCAUAAACAAGUGAGAAUGUGAGCUAGCUUUAAACUCAGGGUACUCCUAGCUAAGGGCUAGUAUGAAAUGUUUAUUAGUCAGAUCAUAUAUUCACUUACAAGCUUGUUCUGUUCCCACAAGGACCUCUAUUCAGUCCCUUAAAAUUAGAGUAACCAUGCCUCAGUAAUGAAUAAAGUUUCUAGGGUUUCAGAUCUCACAGUAAAAAAUUAAUUGUUAUCAGUGUUAGAAUAUUUAGCAUCUGCUGCAAGUCACUCAUGGCUAGUUACCAGCUCUUCUGUGGCUGGCUAAUGAUUUUCUUACAGAGGGAGAGGCAAGGACAAACUACAUUUGAUCCACAGUGAGAUGAUUUAGCUCAUGCUGGCAGGCAGAUCUGGCAAAUGUUUCUCUCGAGUGACAUUUUUGAUGGACAUGGCUGCAGUGACACUUGCCAGAGCAGCAUCUGUAAAAGAGCAACGGAUGAGCAUAUCUAUACCCAUGUUCUAUGCGGGGCAGCUGAAAAAAAACUGUAAGGAAGAAUUCAGUAGAUGUUACUGUUUGCAAACAGCCAUUUUGGAGGAAUAAUUGCUCCGGUAGCCUGAAUAAAAUGUCAGAGCUGUUCUUUUUCCCACUGGAAAAAUAACUUUCCUAACAGACACAAAAUCAGAAGGCAAAAGAUCUGUUCAAUUUGACAUGCACCAUUCUAAUUUCAGUGAAUGUUCCACUUUUGAAAUCAAAGGUAUGAACAGAGUAAUUUCCAGGAUGCUUCUGGCCAAAAUGCACCUACAUAUAUUUGAUAGGUAGGGCGUAGAGCCCUUCCACACACAACAUAUCUCAAAACCCACAGAAGUCAAGAAACUUUUAUUCACACUCAGAGGGAUGUAUUCCCAAAAUAUUGUAUUUGCAGUGAUUUGUGGAAAAUCCAAUAUCCACCAUAUCCUCAGGUGAUGUAAACCAACAUAACCCCACUGAAAAACAAAGCCAACUUCUUACAGAUUCAGCGAGUAAUUUCUUAAAUGAACUGUAUGAGAUUGUCUCUGUGCAGUUCAUUUCUAAGGGACAAGAAAGAUGACACGAUGAUGUCUCAUUUUUAACAGGCUACAAAAUGAACCCAAAGCACCUUUCAAAAUUAUUGAACAGGGAUUACUUACAUCGCAGCAGCUGACCUCAUUCUGUGACUCAGGAACUAUGAACAUAGUAAAAAAUUCAAAAUGACAUUACACAAACAGAAUUUUGCAAACAUACUUGCUACAGAGACAAAUCCUAUUGACUGCAGAGGAUUCCCAAGAUCCAGGCAAAUCCCAGCACUUGCUUCAUCUACAGCCCAGCCAAAGGGUCCCAUUGUCCUAGGGCCCCAGAAUUUAAAUUACUGAAGACAGUGAAUAUUGGGAUUAUAAGAAAUGCCAAUGAAACAAAACAAUAAAAAUCUCAUCAGUCCAUCUUUUCUGAUACCUGAGAUCCUUUGAACCUUUGGCACCUCCAAACAUACCCAGGAUGUUACCAGUAACUUGAUUUCAGAGUUUAUCAACACUGUAUCUUGCAAACUGUCCUGUGUGCCAGCAGUCCAUAGAUAGGCAACUCUGUAAGCAGAACAGAAACUGAACAGCAGGUCAGCAACAACCAGUGACCCUUUCUUGCUUGUGAAGCUUCUGCCCCCUUACAUCGAGCUGUGCUGGCUAAGGCCCAAAUCCCGGGAAGUCUGCUUCCCACAAAAGGACUGCUAUUACCCAUAAAUUCUGCUUUCAAACCUGUGCUGUAACCUGCAAGUCAGUGGCAAAUAAGGGAAACUGCUCUAUUCCAAGAUCAACCAACUGAAACAAGAAUAUUCCACAAGGUCCUUGUCACCAGAGCAGAACCCUGCAGACUGCAAUGAAGAAAGAAAUCCUUUUUAAUUGCCAUCAUAUUUAAACAUUUUUAGAACAUUUUAACCUAUUUUCUUAGGACACUGGCACCUAAUAAUUGUGGUAUUUCUCAGAUUAGUACAUGCAGAAACGCAAUGCCCAAAUGGCUAACCGCAUUUCAUCCAUCAUUUACCACCCUAAGUGCAUUUCUUCCCUGCCUGCCUUUUCUUUAUCUGAUCUACCUCCAUACCAUACACACAAGUUACAAAAGCAUUUGAGGAAAUUAAUUAACAAGAGAACUUUUGCUCCAUUUUUUUCUGGCAAGGUCAAUUUAAUAAUUUGCAGUAAUAAUUACAGGUGCUUUGAGUCUACUACCGCUUGUGUUCCCUAGACACUACUGGUGCAGAUCAGAACAGGCAUGAUAACUAAAACAGCCAGCACACAGUAUUAACUGUUAAUGCACUAGCUUAAUUUCAACAGUCUUUGAAUAUGGAAAGUGCAGUAAAAUAACCACUAGCUUUAGAUGGAGUUUUAUUCACGGCUGGCUGAAUAACAAAAUCACAAUAUGCACAAAUAACAUGCUGACAAGUAUUGAUUCACAAGUAUUUAUCACGUCGUUUCUAGGAUUGUUUUCCAGUUCCAAUUUAUUUUCAAAAUGUGCCUCCUCUCAGUUUCCAUCUUUCUCUUAUUUAUAUGACCAUGUCUUACUGACCCUGCUCAAGUUACGUAUUUUGACAUCUGAAAAUAGGAAACUUACACUAUAUUACUUUAAGACUUCCCCUGGCAGUCAAGUGUACACACACCAUUUUUGAAGCAAUACAUUGCUUGAAAUUUUUCAGCCCAUGUAGCCUUACAGUAGGGAAAUGAAAGUUGACCUCUUCAUGUCCCUUUCAGGUUAUGCUUCUAAUGGAUUUCUUCUAUAGCUUAAGAUACAGUUUCUAAUAAUGUAACCAGAAUUAUAAGAGUUGAAUUUUACAGCCAUGUAAUUAGGGUGCUGUUAAAGUUUAAAUCCAUUUCUUCUUAAACCUGCUGGUUGUUUUAUCCAAAUGGGCUAUGACUGUGUGAUCCUUCCAAUAAUCUUCUGCUUGGCAUAGGCUUCACAUUUUUGCAGAGAGCCAGACAAACUACAUUCAUGCAACAGGAGAUUAUAGCAGUAGUCCUACAUACAUCCUUAUAGCUUGAUAUUGUAUAUAUAUUGCUAUGCAUUUUACUGCACAAAUAAGCACUCACUAUUGAAUAUCAAUGGAAAUGUAUGGAAAUGUAUCGCAUCCAAGAACUGAAAAUAAGCAUGUACUAUCAGUGCAGUCUAAAAAUAGGCAGUGUUUUGAGACUCUCACAUGCAGACAAGUGUAACUCUCAUUUAUCACAUGCUCUGAACACCUUCAUACAGUUUAUAACAACAUAAAGAAAGAACUAGUUCCUUUCAACAUUAGCCACUCAUAUUACUGAUGUAACUGGAAGAGAGAUCAACAGGUUAAAACCUGGUCUUCGUCAUAGCUGGCAGGAAAUAGCCCUGUAACACAUUCCUAGCACUGUGUCACAGAUAGAACAACACCCUGAAUCCAGCCUGAAGAACACAGCUUCCCAUAGGAACUGCUUACUUAGAAAGAGGAGAAAUUUGGAUCAGUGACUGUUUUUUCAUAGCCAUGUGUUAACCGCUUUCCCCGCACUGAGAAUCUUAUCUUAGCAGAGCCAUGAGUCCAAUGUUAGGACUGAUGUGCUGUUAAAUUCACAUGAGGAGACCUUGUUGCGUUAUGAUGAACAGAGACAGAACAGCACCGAGAUACAAAUUAAUGAGGUGUGGUAGCAUAAAAUACUAACAGGAUCUUCAAACGUAUGUGUGGGACUAAUAAGUAGGAGUAAAAAAGUUAUUUUUCAGCACAGCUGAGGCAGACUGGAGGACUGUGCAGUCUGGUAGCCACGUUUGAAAAGGAUAUUGAAAAAUCCUGAAAUGAUGGAUGAGCUGUGUCUGGUACCCGGGGUUCUCUCUGACUGUUGCGUGGCAACAAGGGGCGCAGGCUUUUGGCCCAGCUCCUGUUCUCAGAGGAGUGCCUUUAAAGGGAACAGAUCUUCCAGCUGCAAGCUUUCCUACAAGCCCUCCUCCAUCAUCUGACCUAGUACAUGGCUCGUCACAGUCAGGCUCAGGAAAAUGGUGAAAAGUUUCCAAAUCUCCUGCAGAUAAAGGGAAGGGGCCUGAAAAAGAGGCAAUCUAGGAAUGUUGUGCUGAUAUGAGAUACUGCCUAUAACUAAAGCACAUUUUUUUUUUCUUUGAAGCAUUUUGUAUUUCCAGUUAUAAUGUGCUUGGAGAAGUACUUAUUUUUCACUAGUGGUAUUUCUAGUUUGUCUGUGGUAACAAUCUUCUUUAUUUUUUCCACUGAAGACACAUCAAGGUUUUCCUGAGGAAGAGAGGGAAUUAAACCAGUGUUUUUUUCCCUAGUAUUAGAAGAAAAAAAAAAAAAUCCCAUCUCAUUUGUGCUAUCAGUUUUGGCUGUAUGGUAGAACAAAUGAUACAUAGGCGGCUUCCAUGCCACAUUUACAAUUUGAGGAAAUCUAAAUCUCAAGGCUUAAAUUUUACAGUGCCAUUUUGCCAUUUUUUAAACACACAACCUUCCCUUCCCGUGACAGGGGCAAAAGUACACCCUCCACCCAAUUCCUUACCUCCUGACUCUAGGGAUGAAAAAAUAAAGCAGUCUCCCAUACAGAGUCAGCUGUUAUGAUUAGUGUCUAGUGCCAGCAGCUUGAAGACUCAAAAAUCCAAAGUCAGACUCCAGAACAUACCUGAUUGCCCCCAAACAAGACAUGUUUU